GGUGUACUUCCUAUUACAGAGAAUCAUCAGAAAUCCAAUUUUUAGAAGUUGUACCUAUUCCAAUGAAAAUAAGUCAAAUUUGAUGUUAGUAAUCAUGUUUAAUCAUCUUUUUUUGGUGAAACAUCCUGUUUAUGGGAAAUUUAAGCUCUUGAAUUGGCAUACACAAGUAUUUUAGCCUUUUAUGGUCAUAUAACAUGCAUGCAGUUAAGACUUGACUCCAAGUUCUUAUUUUUGCAUUUUUUGUGAUUGAAAUCAAUAAAACAUGUAUUUUAUGACUUGUAUAUGGUACAAAAUAGCUCUUGGUCAAAAUAAUCUUAUGAUUUUUCAAGUUUUUUGUGUUUCAUAUGG
rnacentral:lncRNA from 1 species